rnacentral:misc_RNA from 1 species
UCCGAUUUAUCACCGGCAGUCUCGCUAGAGUGCUCAACUUAAUGUAGCAACUAACGACAAGGGUUGCGCUCGUUGCGGGACUUAACCCAACAUCUCACGACACGAGCUGACGACAACCAUGCACCACCUGUAGCAAUGUCUCCGAAGAGAGGAGUGUAUCUCUACACUUUUCAUUGUUAUGUCAAGCCUUGGUAAGGUUCUUCGCGUUGCUUCGAAUUAAACCACAUACUCCACUGCUUGUGCGGGCCCCCGUCAAUUCCUUUGAGUUUCAACCUUGCGGCCGUACUCCCCAGGUGGAAUACUUAUUGUGUUAACUGCGGCACAGAGGGAGUCGAUACCCCCUACACCUAGUAUUCAUCGUUUACAGCGUGGACUAC